UAGCGAUCACGUGACAUUGCAUGUGAAUUCUAAAUUAAGAAUUUUUCGGUUGGCUUAUUCCGGAAAUGCGCAUAGUUCAAUAUGGCGGACUGCAAGUUGUAAACAACGUGCUCCGAGAAAAGUACACGGGAAACGUUAUAGGAACUCUCAGCUGUAAAGGUAGAUCAAGUAAAUUAGAGCGAAUGAGAGAAUAUAACAUCUUAAGAAACAGAAAACAAUAAAACCUUUUUAUGAACUAAAAUGUCUGUGUAUCGCAAACGACUGACUAGCACCCCCUAUAUUCCAAAGCAGACGACGCAGCUGGUUAGGCCUACAUGUAAAUGGGACUGAUAGUACUGUACUAUUUAUGGAUUUACCGACACUUUCCACGGGAAAUCCCGGCCCCGAAAGGAAUACGAUGGAGAGGAUUAUGAUCACUGUUGAUAUCAACUUAAAAGUAUAGCUCUUGCCAUCAAGAUGGUACUUUCUGGUAUAGGACCACCAACCCAUAGCAGACCAGGGGAUCUUGAUGUCAGCAAAAUAGUGAUAAUGAUAGAUUCAUCAGUACAGAGUACAAGGUAUAUGAAUGUGAAGUCCAGACCAUUCAUGCUGAUGAUGAUUCAACUACUGCAGAUCGACGGCAGAAUGACUUUCCAUCCCUUCCAGAAAAGAGCAGGACAAGAAUCGCUUGUUGAAAAUAAACUAACAUAGUCAAUAGACUACUUUUCUUUGUCAGCUUUAUAUUACCGGGUACAUGUAUCUCUUGAUUGAGUGUUACAUUUAAAGUGGAAACUAAUCACUCCACAUAUAAAUUUUUUUUUCCAUUUUUCAUAUUUAAUCUACCCUGUUUUAUGUCUGGUGUGGUAAUAGAUCACUCCACAUGCAGCCUUUCAUGUUUAAUGUACUAUGUUAUGUAUUGUAUACGUCAGUUGCAGUAUUACACUGCUGUAGAGUGUAGAUUAUUCUUUUUUUAAAAAAUGUAUGCAUAAUUUAAUGUCGACUUGUGAUGUCGGGUUUAGUAAUAGGCCAAUCAACAGAUAUUCUCUAUUAUGCAUAAUCUACACUGUGAGUGUUUUUCAGGCUUUUUAAUAAGCUGCUCCAGAUAUUCAUGUAGAAUCUUUUUUUUUUUUUUAACUUUUUAUAUAAAAUGUCCUGCAUCAAGUGUUAUGUCCCAGUGCAGUAUUGUCAUUUUGUUUUUAAUUUUUAGGUAUAGUUUAUGUAAUUUUAUGUCUCAGGUCAAGGACGGUUUUAGACUAAGCCCAUUUUAAGUUUUUUUUCUCUGUUUAGCGUCCAACCUUCAAUCAAAAACCUACCUACAUGUACCUAUUUGUAAAAAAAAAUAUGAACCAAAAAAUAAAACACAGAAUGUACGUGUAUCAUGUCUAUAGUUGUAAUAAUAGUGUAAAUCUGAGGAUUUUAUUUCAUCAAUCUGCUUUUCUGGUAGAAAUAUCU